GAUGAACGCUGGCGGCGUGCCUAAUACAUGCAAGUCGAGCGAACGGACGAGAAUCUUGCUUCUCUGAUGUUAGCGGCGGACGGGUGAGUCACACGUGGAUAACCUACCUAUAAGACUGGGAUCACUUCGGGAAACCGGAGCUAAUACCGGAUAAUAUUUUGAACCGCAUGGUUCAAAAGUAAAAGACGGUCUUGCUGUCACUUAUAGAUGGAUCCGCGCUGCAUUAGCUAGUUGGUAGGGUAACGGCUUACCAAGGCAACGAUGCAUAGCCGACCUGAGAGGGUGAUCGGCCACACUGGAACUGAGACACGGUCCAGACUCCUACGGGAGGCAGCAGUAGGGAAUCUUCCGCAAUGGGCGAAAGCCUGACGGAGCAACGCCGCGUGAGUGAUGAAGGUCUUCGGAUCGUAAAACUCUGUUAUUAGGGAAGAACAGAUGUGUAAGUAACUGUGCACAUCUUGACGGUACCUAAUCAGAAAGCCACGGCUAACUACGUG
rnacentral:rRNA from 1 species